rnacentral:rRNA from 1 species
GCUUUUAUAAGCGAGAAAUAUGAUGGUAACUUAUGAAUAAGGAUCGGCUAACUACGUGCCAGCAGCCGCGGUCAUACGUAGGAUCCGAGCAUUAUCCGGAGUGACUGGGUGUAAAGAGUUGCGUAGGUGGCAUAAUAAGUAGCUAGUGAAAUCUGGUGGCUCAACCAUUCAGACUAUUAGCUAAACUGUUAAGCUCGAGACCGUUAGGGGUAACUGGAAUUUCUAGUGUAGGAGUGAAAUCCGUAGAUAUUAGAAAGAACACCGAUAGCGUAGGCAGGUUACUGGGACGGUUCUGACACCAAGGCACGAAAGCGUAGGGAGCAAAC